AUUGAGCGCUGGCGGCAGGCCUAACACAUGCAAGUCGAGCGGAUGAAGGGAGCUUGCUCCUGGAUUCAGCGGCGGACGGGUGAGUAAUGCCUAGGAAUCUGCCUGGUAGUGGGGGAUAACGUCCGGAAACGGGCGCUAAUACCGCAUACGUCCUGAGGGAGAAAGUGGGGGAUCUUCGGACCUCACGCUAUCAGAUGAGCCUAGGUCGGAUUAGCUAGUUGGUGGGGUAAAGGCCUACCAAGGCGACGAUCCGUAACUGGUCUGAGAGGAUGAUCAGUCACACUGGAACUGAGACACGGUCCAGACUCCUACGGGAGGCAGCAGUGGGGAAUAUUGGACAAUGGGCGAAAGCCUGAUCCAGCCAUGCCGCGUGUGUGAAGAAGGUCUUCGGAUUGUAAAGCACUUUAAGUUGGGGGGAAGGGCAGUAAGUUAAUACCUUGCUGUUUUGACGUUACCAACAGAAUAAGCACCGGCUAACUUCGUG
rnacentral:rRNA from 1 species